UACGUAGGGGGCGAGCGUUGUCCGGAAUCAUUGGGCGUAAAGCGCGUGUAGGCGGCUGCGUAAGUCUGUUGUGAAAGUCGGAGGCUCAACCUUCGAAUGCCAAUGGAUACUGCGCAGCUUGAGUUCGGAAGAGGAGAGUGGAAUUCCUGGUGUAGCGGUGAAAUGCGCAGAUAUCAGGAGGAACACCAACGGCGAAGGCAGCUCUCUGGGACGAUACUGAUGCUGAGACGCGAAAGCGUGGGGAGCAAACAGGAUUAGAAACCCCGGUAGU
rnacentral:rRNA from 1 species